CGCCUCCGCCGCGAAUUUACAUAAACAUGAGCCCCUCGGGGCAGCGACUCGGGCGAGGAGUCCGGGGAUUUCUGCGGCCACCGCCAGCCAAGCCGAGGUGUCCGGGACCGGCUCCUUUGCCCUGGCGCCCGAGCCGUUUCGCCCCUGAUUGAACAGGCCACCCUCGUUCCUCUCCUACAGGUGGCAUAGCCAAGGCUCAGAGAGGUUAGGAAGCGGUCCCCAGGCGGCACAGCAAGCCAGGAACGCCACUCGAGACAGCUUCAGCACGGGAUCCAGGCUCGAGUGGAGGGGAGGGUCUGCCGGGGCGGAGGGGCCUCGUCCCCCGCCCUCCCUCUCCGAUCUCCAUCGCUGGCCCCCACCGACUCUGGUCCUGCAAACUGAGUUCUUUGCCCACCUCCUCCUUCCAGCCCUCGCCCUGCAGAGUUCAGCCUGAUCUACACCGGCCGGCCGGAGAGCCGAGCCGGAGGAAAGCAAGCUCAGCCCCAGGGACCUCAGUCGAGCAGAACUCUGUCUCUUGCCAUGAAGCUGCCCCUCCCAUCCCCGCAAAGGAACACACACCGGCAGAAUCCGCCUUUUCAAUAAAAAACUACGACUGGGAAACAGUGAAUUAAAAAGCAUUAACUUAAAAACAAUCCAUGUGUCUGUAAAUGCGUUCCAAAUGGCAGCCUUCGGUGGAGGAGGGUGGGGGCGGUACGUGUUCUGGAGCCUCAGACACAAAGUGUAGGGGCUCAGGGCCGAGUGGAACCGGGACAGUUACCUGGGGUGGGGUCUCAGGUAACAGGGUUUCCUCUCCACCCUCCCUGUAGUGGGCCCCUAUCCAGCUCCCUGGGUCCUCCCUGAGUCCUGGCAUCUGCUAGUCCCUCCUACUCCGCCAAUGUCCCCAAA
rnacentral:lncRNA from 1 species